rnacentral:rRNA from 1 species
ACGCCGUAAACGAUGUCUACUUGGAGGUUGUGGCCUUGAGCCGUGGCUUUCGGAGCUAACGCGUUAAGUAGACCGCCUGGGGAGUACGGUCGCAAGAUUAAAACUCAAAUGAAUUGACGGGGGCCCGCACAAGCGGUGGAGCAUGUGGUUUAAUUCGAUGCAACGCGAAGAACCUUACCUACUCUUGACAUCCAGAGAACUUUCCAGAGAUGGAUUGGUGCCUUCGGGAACUCUGAGACAGGUGCUGCAUGGCUGUCGUCAGCUCGUGUUGUGAAAUGUUGGGUUAAGUCCCGCAACGAGCGCAACCCUUAUCCUUGUUUGCCAGCGAGUAAUGUCGGGAACUCCAGGGAGACUGCCGGUGAUAAACCGGAGGAAGGUGGGGACGACGUCAAGUCAUCAUGGCCCUUACGAG